GGGCCAUAGCUCAGUGGUACAGAAUCUGCCUUGCAUUCAAAAGGUUGCGGGUUCAAUUCCCAGCAUCUCCA